UCCCCGCUUCUCCUCCCUGAGCGGGUGCCUGUCGUUAUUCGAUAAGGCUGUUUGACCCGCCGUUUGACGGCGGGUUUUUUUAU
rnacentral:ncRNA from 1 species